rnacentral:rRNA from 1 species
GCCUGAUGCAGCCAUGCCGCGUGUAUGAAGAAGGCCUUCGGGUUGUAAAGUACUUUCAGCGGGGAGGAAGGCGGUGAGGUUAAUAACCUCAUCGAUUGACGUUACCCGCAGAAGAAGCACCGGCUAACUCCGUGCCAGCAGCCGCGGUAAUACGGAGGGUGCAAGCGUUAAUCGGAAUUACUGGGCGUAAAGCGCACGCAGGCGGUCUGUCAAGUCGGAUGUGAAAUCCCCGGGCUCAACCUGGGAACUGCAUUCGAAACUGGCAGGCUAGAGUCUUGUAGAGGGGGGUAGAAUUCCAGGUGUAGCGGUGAAAUGCGUAGAGAUCUGGAGGAAUACCGGUGGCGAAGGCGGCCCCCUGGACAAAGACUGACGCUCAGGUGCGAAAGCGUGGGGA